CCUACGGGAGGCAGCAGUGAGGAAUAUUGGUCAAUGGGCGCAAGCCUGAACCAGCCAAGUCGCGUGAAGGAUGACUGCCCUACGGGUUGUAAACUUCUUUUAUAAGGGAAUAAAGUGAGGCACGUGUGCCUUUUUGUAUGUACUUUAUGAAUAAGGAUCGGCUAACUCCGUGCCAGCAGCCGCGGUAAUACGGAGGAUCCGAGCGUUAUCCGGAUUUAUUGGGUUUAAAGGGAGCGUAGAUGGGUUGUUAAGUCAGUUGUGAAAGUUUGCGGCUCAACCGUAAAAUUGCAAUUGAUACUGGCAGCCUUGAGUACAGUUGAGGUAGGCGGAAUGCGUGGUGUAGCGGUGAAAUGCUUAGAUAUCACGCAGAACUCCGAUUGCGAAGGCAGCUUACUAAACUGCCACUGACAUUGAUGCUCGAAAGUGUGGGUAUCAAACAGGAUUAGAUACCCUGGUAGUC
rnacentral:rRNA from 1 species